CGGUAGGCCUAACACAUGCAAGUCGAACGGCAGCACAGUAAGAGCUUGCUCUUACGGGUGGCGAGUGGCGGACGGGUGAGGAAUACAUCGGAAUCUACUUUUUCGUGGGGGAUAACGUAGGGAAACUUACGCUAAUACCGCAUACGACCUACGGGUGAAAGCAGGGGAUCUUCGGACCUUGCGCGAUUGAAUGAGCCGAUGUCGGAUUAGCUAGUUGGCGGGGUAAAGGCCCACCAAGGCGACGAUCCGUAGCUGGUCUGAGAGGAUGAUCAGCCACACUGGAACUGAGACACGGUCCAGACUCCUACGGGAGGCAGCAGUGGGGAAUAUUGGACAAUGGGCGCAAGCCUGAUCCAGCCAUACCGCGUGGGUGAAGAAGGCCUUCGGGUUGUAAAGCCCUUUUGUUGGGAAAGAAAAGCAGCAGGCUAAUACCCCGCUGUUCUGACGGUACCCAAAGAAUAAGCACCGGCUAACUUCGUG
rnacentral:rRNA from 1 species